UGGUUUUUCUACUCUUGUUGCCAGGAU
rnacentral:piRNA from 1 species